UACCCCCAGUCCCAGCUGAUGGGCCUUCAUGUCUUCUAGCAAAGGGAAGCCACAGACUUAAGGAUCUUGGUGGGGGGGGGGGGCUUUAACCCUUCACUGCCUUAACCAAAGUUGAGUGCCUCUGGGCUUCACCUCUCCCCUUUCCUUCCCAACAGUUUCCCCCUUGAUUUUUCCAACCCCCAACCUGCCUGGAUCCCUGGGAUCCCCGACUCAGAGCCUGCCAAGCCUCACCAGAGCCCCUUCAGGUUUCGAGCCAGCGUCACAGAACCCUGAUGGAGGGAGGACCGGCGGAGGGAGCCAGGAGCCGGGAGCCAGGACCGCAAAGCUGCUGGGGAGGGGGGGCAGCCACCCCCGCCUCCUACCCCAGCACCUCCAGCCUGACUUGUUGAACGGGGCAGGCAGCCCAGCUACACACACCGGCCGGCACUGCCACCAAAAGAACUUUCAUCGCUGCCGGGAUGGAGGGGGAACCAAAGUUUCCCAUCGCCUGCUUCCCGACACCUCCCUCAGGGGGAGCAGGUGCAGGACUGGGAUGGGAGGGAAGGAGGGGGACAAGACUGGGGGAGGAGAGGGCCUCCGGAGGUCUCUUUUCAAAAGAACAAACCCCAGCUCCCCGGCGAAUGACUGGAGUCAGCUUACGAUAGGUUCACCAAAGCCUUAUUGCAGGGAGAACGGGUGCCAGCCGGGGAAUAUGAGCAGAUCUGUGCAUGCAGAGAAAGCCACGCGAGGGGUAGAGCAUUCUUCUACUGACACCACAUGUCUAUAGGGGAAGCUACAGUCACUGGGAGAGAGGGCUGGGAGCUGCAUGCUCUGGCCAUGGUGCUGAUGCUAGAAUGGAGUGCGCGAGAGGCUAGAACCCUCCCUGUCUCUUCCUCACUGUGUCACCUAUGGACUAGCCCUUUCCCCCUCUGAGCCUUAACUUCUUCAUCUGUAAAAUGGAAGAGAAGGAAACUGAGACCAUGAGAUGAAGUGGCUGGUCAAAGAUCCCUUCCAGGCACAGGUGGGGGACUAUGGACAUACAAUUUUGCAUACCCAGCCAGAUGCGGUUGCUGUGCUUAACCGAUUAUUUUCUUUGUCAUAAAGAAUCACAGAGUUGGUGGGGAGUGAAGUUGUGUAUAUUUGGAAAUGAC